UCGCGCUCGCGGGCGGCUGCGGUGUUUUGGCCCCCGGGCGGAGCCGUAGCUCCAGUCUCCUCAGGCGUCCACAGCCGAGGAGCCGGGCGUCCGAGACUCCGGGCCGCCGUCCACGAUGUCUGACGGGCAAGCUAGGCAGAGCGGAGGUUCCUUGCAGGCCGGCGCGGUGACUGUCAGCGACGUCCAAGAGCUGAUGCGGCGCAAGGAGGAGAUCGAGGCGCAGAUCCAGGCCAAUUAUGACGUGCUGGAGAGCCAAAAAGGAAUUGGGAUGAACGAGCCGCUGGUGGACUCUGAAGGCUACCCCCGGUCAGACGUGGACCUGUACCAAGUCCGCACUGCCAGGCACAACAUCAUCUGCUUGCAGAAUGACCACAAGGCGGUGAUGAAGCAGGUGGAGGAAGCCUUGCACCAGCUGCAUGCUCGUGACAAGCAGAAGCAGGCCAAGGACAUGGCUGAGGCCCAGAAAGAGGCCAUGAGCCACAAACUGGGGGAGAGUAUGAGCUACAGCACUCCUCGGGGCUUCGCCAAAGUGAAAAGCAUCAGCCCUGGCUCCCCAGCCAGCACUGCGGGUCUGCAAGUGGAUGAUGAGAUUGUGGAGUUUGGCUCUGUCAACACCCAAAACUUCCACACACUGCAUAACAUCAGCACUGUGGUGCAGCACAGUGAGGGGAAGUCCCUGAAUGUGAUGGUGAUCCGCAGGGGAGAGAAACACCAGCUUAGACUUGUUCCAACACGCUGGGCAGGCAAAGGAUUGCUGGGCUGCAACAUUAUUCCUCUGCAAAGAUGACUGUCCUUGGGAAACAUUAACAGGAAAGCAUCUUCCCUUGCCCUGGAUUUGGGUCUAGUGGAGAUUUCCUCAUUCUCUCCUCUCCCUGAAGCAUAAGGACCUGGAAGAGGCCGGAAGCCCGAACUUCUAGGAUGUUGAAAUGGGUCUGUGAUUCCUGCUGAUGCUGUGUCUGCAUUUCUUCCUCUACAUAGUAUCACAGCGUUUAUUUCCCCAGUUCUUGCACACCACUUUCUGUUUCGGAGGACGUAUGGCACCUUUUGCCCAGCAACCCUGUGUUCCUAGGUAUUGGAUUUGCUCUGGUGAGGUGCAGAUCCCAGCCUGCCCUGGUGGGAGUCAGUAUUGGUGUGUGUUUCCAGCUAUGGGUUCUCAUGCUCAAUUCGAAAGCCUUCCUGUGGAGCGUCUUCCCUCAAACUGUGUAUUCCAGCCAUACAGCCAUGUGUAUUCCCCUCUCGUAGCCACGGACUUGCUGUGUUUACCAAUGUUUACUGUUUAAAUUGCAUGUUCUAAUUCCAAGUGUUUUAUAAGU